AUUGAACGCUGGCGGCAUGCCUUACACAUGCAAGUCGAACGGCAGCACGGGAGCAAUCCUGGUGGCGAGUGGCGAACGGGUGAGUAAAGUAUCGGAACGUGCCCAGUCGUGGGGGAUAACGUAGCGAAAGUUACGCUAAUACCGCAUACGAUCUAUGGAUGAAAGCGGGGGAUCGCAAGACCUCGCGCGAUUGGAGCGGCCGAUAUCAGAUUAGGUAGUUGGUGGGGUAAAGGCUCACCAAGCCGACGAUCUGUAGCUGGUCUGAGAGGACGACCAGCACCACUGGGACUGAGACCCGGCCCAGACUCCUACGGGAGGCAGCAGUGGGGAAUUUUGGACAAUGGGCGAAAGCCUGAUCCAGCCAUGCCGCGUGCAGGAUGAAGGCCUUCGGGUUGUAAACUGCUUUUGUACGGAACGAAAAGGUUUGGCCUAAUAAGCUGAGCUCAUGACGGUACCGUAAGAAUAAGCACCGGCUAACUACGUGCCAGCAGCCGCCGUAA
rnacentral:rRNA from 1 species